UACGUAGGUGGCAAGCGUUGUCCGGAUUUACUGGGCGUAAAGAGCUCGUAGGCGGCUUGUCGCGUCGACUGUGAAAUCCCGCGGCUCAACUGCGGGUCUGCAGUCGAUACGGGCAGGCUAGAGUUCGGUAGGGAGACGUGGAAUUCCUGGUGUAGCGGUGGAAUGCGUAGAGAUCCGGAAGAACACCGGUGGCGAAGGCGGCCUGCUGGGCUAUGGCUGACACUGAGGCGCGACAGCGUGGGGAGCAAACAGG
rnacentral:rRNA from 1 species